UACGAAGGGGGCUAGCGUUGUUCGGAAUUACUGGGCGUAAAGCGCGCGUAGGCGGAUUGCUAAGUCAGGGGUGAAAUCCCGAGGCUCAACCUCGGAACUGCCUUUGAUACUGGUGAUCUGGAGUCCGGAAGAGGUUGGUGGAAUUCCGAGUGUAGAGGUGAAAUUCGUAGAUAUUCGGAGGAACACCAGAGGCGAAGGCGGCCAACUGGUCCGGUACUGACGCUGAGGCGCGAAAGCGGUGGGGAGCAAACAGG
rnacentral:rRNA from 1 species